AUGGAGAGCUACCUCAACGAGAACUUCGGGGGCGUCAAGCCCAAGCACUCCUCCGACGAGGCGCUGGGACGAUGGCGCAAGGUCGUCGGCGUCGUCAAGAACCCCAAGCGCCGCUUCCGCUUCACCGCCAACCUCGGCAAGCGAUCCGAGGCGGCCGCCAUGAAGCGGACCAACCAGGAGAAGCUGCGUGUUGCUGUGCUUGUUUCAAAGGCUGCACUUCAGUUCAUCCAUGGUCUUGCUCCCCACAGCGAGUACACAGUCCCUGCCGCCGUCAAGGCAGCAGGCUAUGGCAUCUGUGCUGAGGAACUGAGCUCUGUUGUCGAGAGCCACGACAUCAAGAAGCUGAAAGCACAUGGCGGCACCGAGGGCCUCAUAUCAAAGGUGUCUACCUCAGAGUCGGAUGGCGUCAGCACAUCCAAGGACAAGCUUGCAUCCCGGCAGGAGAUCUUUGGCAUCAACAAAUUCGCCGAGACGGAGGCCCGCAGCUUCUGGGUCUUUGUCUGGGAGGCGCUCCACGACAUGACACUCAUGAUCCUUGCUGCAUGUGCCUUCUUCUCGCUCGUCGUCGGCAUUGCCACCGAGGGGUGGCCCAAGGGCGCGCAUGAUGGCCUUGGCAUCGUCGCUAGUAUUCUUCUGGUUGUGUUUGUCACUGCGACAAGCGACUACCGGCAAUCCCUGCAGUUCAAGGACCUUGACAAGGAGAAGAAGAAGAUCACGGUGCAGGUCACUCGGAGUGGGUACCGGCAGAAGCUCUCGAUAUACGAGCUUCUCGUUGGUGACAUUGUGCACCUUUCCAUUGGUGAUCAAGUACCAGCUGACGGUUUGUUCGUAUCAGGAUUCUCAUUGCUGAUUAAUGAAUCAAGCCUGACUGGGGAGAGUGAACCAGUUGCUGUCAAUGCCGAGAACCCAUUCCUUUUGUCAGGAACUAAAGUGCAGGAUGGUUCUUGCAAGAUGCUUGUGACGACAGUCGGCAUGAGGACUCAAUGGGGUAAACUCAUGGCCACCCUCAGUGAAGGCGGGGAUGAUGAGACGCCAUUGCAGGUCAAGCUGAACGGCGUUGCAACCAUCAUUGGCAAAAUAGGCCUCGUCUUUGCUGUUGUCACAUUUGCAGUGCUCACUGAAAGCCUGUUCCGCCGCAAGAUCAUGGAUGGUUCGUACUUGAGUUGGAGUGGAGAUGAUGCACUGGAGCUGCUUGAGUUCUUUGCUAUUGCUGUUACUAUUGUUGUCGUAGCAGUUCCUGAAGGCUUACCGCUCGCCGUGACCUUGAGCCUUGCAUUUGCCAUGAAGAAGAUGAUGAAUGACAAGGCACUUGUCCGACACCUUGCAGCUUGUGAGACCAUGGGCUCAGCAACCUCCAUUUGCAGUGACAAGACUGGCACACUCACAACGAAUCACAUGACUGUCGUCAAGGCUUGCAUCUGUGGCAAAAUUAAAGAAGUGGAAAAAUCUUCAGACACCAAGAGCUUAUUCUCUGAGCUACCGGCUUCUGUCAUGACAAUGCUCUCGCAGUCCAUAUUUAACAACACCGGUGGCGAUGUUGUCAUCAACCAGGAUGGCAAACGCGAAAUACUGGGCACACCAACUGAGGCAGCAAUUCUAGAGCUUGGGCUGUCACUCGGUGGAGAUUUCCAGGCAGUGCGAAAAGCAACCACCCUCAUCAAAGUUGAGCCAUUUAACUCCGCGAAGAAGAGAAUGGGAGUGGUCAUCCAGCUGCCAGGGGGUGCAUUCCGUGCUCACUGCAAAGGUGCAUCAGAGAUCAUAUUGGCAUCUUGCAGCAAGUACCUGAAUGACCAAGGCAAUGCCGUCCCCCUUGACACUGCAACUAUUGCUCACUUGAAUGCCACGAUUGAGAGCUUUGCAAAUGAGGCACUUCGCACUCUGUGCCUUGCUUACAUUGAAGUUGCAGAUGGGUUCUCAGCUAAUGAUGCAAUUCCUGAAGAGGGGUACACAUGCAUUGGCAUUGUUGGGAUUAAAGACCCAGUGCGCCCGGGUGUGAAGGAAUCUGUCGCCAUCUGCAGGUCAGCCGGUAUUACUGUCAGGAUGGUCACAGGCGACAACAUUAACACAGCAAAGGCAAUUGCCCGGGAAUGUGGCAUUUUGACUGAAGGCGGUCUUGCCAUUGAAGGCCCAGAUUUUAGAACUAAGAGUGCAGAAGAAAUGUAUAAAUUGAUACCAAAGAUACAGGUAAUGGCUAGGUCUUCACCACUUGACAAGCACACCUUAGUGAAGAAUCUCCGGACUACACAUGAAGAAGUUGUUGCCGUGACUGGUGACGGAACAAAUGAUGCACCCGCACUUCAUGAGGCUGAUAUUGGACUUGCGAUGGGCAUUGCUGGAACUGAGAGUCAAUUACAUGUUUGCUCCAGUAUGCCUCAUUUUGGUAUUUUUUUGAAGGUUGCAAAAGAGAGUGCCGAUGUCAUUAUUCUUGAUGACAACUUCUCCACUAUAGUCACGGUUGCCAAAUGGGGUCGAUCUGUGUACAUCAACAUUCAGAAGUUUGUGCAGUUUCAACUGACAGUCAACGUGGUUGCCCUCGUUGUGAACUUCUCGUCAGCUUGCAUGACAGGGAGUGCUCCCCUUACUGCUGUUCAGUUGCUCUGGGUCAAUAUGAUCAUGGACACACUAGGAGCAUUGGCAUUGGCCACAGAACCUCCAAACGAUGAACUGAUGAAGAGGACUCCUGUUGGAAGGAAAGGAAACUUCAUUAGCAACAUUAUGUGGAGGAACAUCAUGGGACAGGCAAUCUACCAGUUCUUUGUAAUUUGGUAUCUGCAGACGGAAGGAAAGACGUUGUUUGAACUUAAGGGUGAUAAUUCCGAUCUAGUCUUGAACACGCUCAUCUUCAAUUGCUUUGUGUUCUGCCAGGUGUUCAACGAGGUGAGCUCCAGAGAGAUGGAGAGGAUAAAUGUAUUCAAAGGCAUUCUAAACAACAACGUGUUCGUCGCGGUGCUCGGCAGCACGGUCUUAUUCCAGAUCAUCAUAGUACAGUUCCUUGGCGAUUUCGCGAACACCACCCCUCUGUCACUCAGGGAGUGGUUCUCCUGCAUCGUCAUCGGCUUCAUAGGCAUGCCUAUCGCCGCGAUAGUCAAGCUCUUCCCAGUGGGUUCUCAGUAG
rnacentral:rRNA from 1 species